AUCAGUAAUCCAAGCCACCAGGCACCAACCCAGCGGGUAUCCUUGGGAUUUAUGCUGAUGGCAUCUGUAAAAUACAGAAAGAGAGAGGAGAUAACACAGGAUCAGAAGAAGAAGAUAGGAUACACUUAGAAGCAAAUGAAUAAGCUGUGAAGAGAGAAAACUGGCACAUGUAGCAGAAGCUACUUGGGGAAAGCAAGAGGAGCAUCUGGGAAAUAUCCUUCCAAAAUAAAGACAAGAUCUCUUUAGCUUUCCUUAUUUAUCUCUGUUCAAUUAAAAAUUAAGUAAAAUAGAAUAGAUAGAUUUUUUUGCUUGGCUACAGAAAUGUUAGAGAAAAGAAUGU